GACGGACGCUGGCGGCGUGCCUAAUACAUGCAAGUAGAACGCUGAAGGAUGAUAUUUCUCUUCUGUAUGAGUUGCGCACGGGUGAGUAUCGCGUAUGUAACCUGCCUGUUAGCGGGGGAUAACUCUUUUAAACGCUAGCUCAUACCGCAUAUCAGUAGAUUUUGCAUGACUUUUACUUAAAAGAUACAAUUUCAUCUCUACCAGAUUUACCUGCGUUGUAUUAGCUAGUUUGUGUGGUAACGGCUCACCAAGGCGACGAUACAUAGCCGACCUGAGAGGGUGAUCGGCCACACUGGGACUGAGACACGGCCCAGACUCCUACGGGAGGCAGCAGUAGGGAAUCUUCGGCAAUGGACGAAAGUCUGACCGAGCAACGCCGCGUGAGUGAAGAAGGUUUUCGGAUCGUAAAGCUCUGUUGGAAGAGAAGAACGAGUGUGAGAGUGGAAAGUUCACAAUGUGACGGUAUCUUACCAGAAAGAGACGGCUAACUACGUG
rnacentral:rRNA from 1 species